CGCUCCCAAAUGUAUAGCCUACAAAAUGAACACAAAAUGCAUGAAAAAUAACUAAAACACAUAAAUAUAAGCAACUAAUUCAAGUAAAAGAUACCAGAUAAGUGUAUAUAAAAUCCACUUAUCAAAUACCCCCAAACUUAAACUGUUGUUUGUCCCCAAGUAACACAACAUAAUGCAAUGCAAUGCAAUGAAAUGCAACUAAUCUAUAUGCCUACGAAUCCAGCAGUAUUGGAUAGAAUCAAAUCUAUUCACUCGGCCUUAGAGCAAUCAAGCAAACACGACAAUACUUCAUAUCAAAACCAAUCAACAAUUUCCUAGUCAAUCAUCAAGUCUUAAACUGUUAUUACUGGUAUAGUGCGUGUGUGUGCUCAACAACCAUGCUAACUGAUAUAAAAUCAAAUUUAACACAUAACAAGUCUCUUCGAAG
rnacentral:lncRNA from 1 species